CGUGGCGGGCUCAAAUGGCGGCGGCGCUGGGCGCCUAGGCCGGCGGGGGCCAUGAGCGCCGCCCGGCCCCAGUUUAGCAUCGAUGAUGCCUUCGAGCUGACCCUGGAGGACGCGGGGCCUGGGCCCGAGUCCAGCGGGGUCGCCCGCUUCGGGCCGCUGCACUUCGAGCGCCGGGCUCGGUUCGAGGUGGCUGAUGAAGACAAGCAGUCCCGGCUACGCUACCAGAACCUGGAAAAUGAUGAGGACGGAACCCAGGCCUCUCCGGAGCCAGAUGGGGGAGUCAGCACCAGGGAUUCAGGGCACAUGUCUAUCCGCAGCUCCCAGUGGUCCUUCAGCACCAUCAGCAGCAGCACACAGCGCUCCUACAACGCCUGCUGCAGGUGUCUCCAGUGCCAUCUUCUUUGUGCCGGGCAUCCUGCUGUUAGUCCCAGGAGUCUACCAUGUGAUCUUCAUCUACUGUGCUGUCAAGGGCCGCCGGGGCUUCCAAUUCUUCUACCUGCCCUAUUUUGAGAAGUGAGCUACAACUGGCCAGUGGCUCACCAGUGAUCCAAGGCCUCAGGUCACCUCCACGCGUCCACAGGGUAUUCCUCCAACCUACACCUGGUUCUGUUCCUUUCACCUGAGGCCCUCUGGGACCCUCACAACCACCAGGCCCCUUUGAAUUUGCUCAGGAAGUUUGGAGCAUGCCAGCCUGGGGAUAUUGCCUCUUACCUGAUGUGUGCCUUAACUUAUUUCUGGGUUCUGGACUCCUGGGUUGGUGUAAUUUUGUGCUAAUAAAAGGGUAAUUACUUCC
ensembl:processed_transcript